AGAGUAUCUGUAUAGAUACUGUAUAGAGUAUCUGUACAGAGUAUCUGUAUAGAUACUAUAUAGAGUAUCUGUAUAGAGACUGUAUAGAGUAUCUGUAUAGAGACUGUAUAGAGUAUCUGUAUAGAUACUGUAUAGAGUAUCUGUACAGAGUAUCCGUAUAGAGUAUCUGUAUAGAUACUGUAUAGAGUAUCUGUAUAGAUCUACCAGCAGUUGUUUUUGAAGGCUGAGGGAGAACACUGUUAUACAAUUUGGUUAAAGUAUUUCCAAACAGGGAAAUGCAUAAUCAUGUGUGGAGUAGUGUCUUCGAUGUAGCCUAACUAUACUGGAGUAGUGUCCUCGAUGUAGCCUAACUAUGCUGGAGUAGUGUCUUCGAUGUAGCCUAACUAUACUGGAGUAGUGUCCUCGAUGUAGCCUAACUAUGCUGUAGUAGUGUCCUCGAUGUAGCCUAACUAUACUGGAGUAGUGUCCUCGAUGUAGCCUAACUAUGCUGUAGUAGAAAUACAGUAACUGUCAUACAGGUGUGUGGAAAUACAGUAACUGUCAUACAGGUGUGUGGAAAUACAGUAACUGUCAUAUAGGUGUGUGGAAAUACAGUAACUGUCAUACAGGUGUGUGGAAAUACAGUAACUGUCAUAGGUGUGUGGAAAUACAGUAACUGUCAUACAGGUGUGUGGAAAUACAGUAACUGUCAUAUAGGUGUGUGGAAAUACAGUAACUGUCAUAUAGGUGUGUGGAAAUACAGUAACUGUCAUACAGGUGUGUGAAAAUACAGUAACUGUCAUAUAGGUGUGUGGAAAUACAGUAACUGUCAUACAGGUGUGUGGAAAUACAG
ensembl:lncRNA